rnacentral:rRNA from 1 species
CAAUAGCGUAUAUUAAAGUUGUUGCAGUUAAAAAGCUCGUAGUUGGAUUUCUGGUGGGAGCGAUCGGUCUGGCGCUUAGCGCGAGUACUUGCAUCGUCUCCGGCCACCCUUGGGGAGAGUCUGUCUGGCAUUAAGUUGUCGGGCAGAGGAUCCUCAUCGUUUACUGUGAAAAAAUUAGAGUGUUCAAAGCAGGCUUAUGCCGUUGAAUAUAUUAGCAUGGAAUAAUAAGAUAGGACUUUGGUACUAUUUUGUUGGUUUGCGCACCAAAGUAAUGAUUAAUAGGGACAGUUGGGGGUAUUCGUAUUCCGUUGUCAGAGGUGAAAUUCUUGGAUUUACGGAAGACGAACUACUGCGAAAGCAUUUACCAAGGAUGUUUUCAUUAA